UAGGUGAGGGAGGUGGUGUCGUACAGACUCGGGAAUCCGGACACCGCCAUUAUCAGCUUGUACUCCAUCUUGUUACAAACUGCUGCUUCUUCUUCUUCUUCUUCCGACAACAGCGCACUUCCGUUUCCGGUGACUGAAGACCCAAAAAAUGUCCCAUCAUCAUGAAUUGAAAUGAGACCUCAACUAUCCAGCUGUUAGAGUGGGGGGACCACUUCCUGUCAAACAGCUCAGAUCAAACAGCUGCUGACCUGGAGCCAGUCUCACUCUGCCUGUAGAGGGCGACGUCGCUCCUGAACUCAACAGCAUGAUGGAGCAAUCAUCGUUUAUAAGCAUCAUCAUCAUCAUCAUCAUCAUCAUAUAUGAGACAACCUGUGUGAAUGUAAAACACGUUAUUAGUAAUAAUCCAGCAGCUGGGCAACAAAAGAAUAAAGUAAACAGAAAAUGAUUGUUAUUAUUUUAAUGUGAAUGUUAAAAGUUAUAGAACUGUAAUAAAAGUCAUUAUCUGUGUAA